ACGAACGCUGGCGGCGUGCUUAACACCUGCAAGUCGAACGGAAAGGCCCUGCUUUUGUGGGGUGCUCGAGUGGCGAACGGGUGAGUAACACGUGAGUAACCUGCCCUUGACUUUGGGAUAACUUCAGGAAACUGGGGCUAAUACCGGAUAGGAGCUCCUGCUGCAUGGUGGGGGUUGGAAAGUUUCGGCGGUUGGGGAUGGACUCGCGGCUUAUCAGCUUGUUGGUGGGGUAGUGGCUUACCAAGGCUUUGACGGGUAGCCGGCCUGAGAGGGUGACCGGCCACAUUGGGACUGAGAUACGGCCCAGACUCCUACGGGAGGCAGCAGUGGGGAAUAUUGCACAAUGGGCGGAAGCCUGAUGCAGCAACGCAGCGUGCGGGAUGACGGCCUUCGGGUUGUAAACCGCUUUCGCCUGUGACGAAGCGUGAGUGACGGUAAUGGGUAAAGAAGCACCGGCUAACUACGUG
rnacentral:rRNA from 1 species